UAAACUGGAGAGUUUGAUCCUGGCUCAGAACGAACGCUGGCGGCGUGCCUAACACAUGCAAGUCGUACGAG
rnacentral:rRNA from 1 species